rnacentral:snRNA from 1 species
AUCACUUCUUGGCCUUUUGGCUAAGAUCAAGUGUAGUAUCCGUUUU